UUUCGGACUCUUCCGCACUCAGCAAACACGCAGCUUGCUCUCGGCAUGCACCUCGCAUAUCUCAUCCUCACCGUCUUCCUGGCCCAGCUCCUGGGAGCGGCUGCAGACACAGACCAAGUGCAACAGAGGCCGUGGGCAGAGACCAUCGAGGGCACCGGCCUGAACAUCACUUGCCAGCACCCCAAAAUUGCUGCCGACGCUACCCACUGGUAUCGUCAAUUCCCAGACCAAGCACCCCAGCUGGUAGCAACAGCUAUCCGAGGCACAAAACCCGUAAUGGAGCCAGAGGGGAGCCUGUCGGUGUCGGCAGAUCGGCGUUCGAGUGCGCUGUGGCUCGGGCGGCCCCGGCGCGGGGACGCGGCCGUGUAUUACUGCGCGCUGGGAGCCACGGGCAGAGGAGCCGGGGCUGCGGCCGGGCACGAACCGCCGCGGGCGGGGCCGGCCGGGAGACCCGAGCGCCGCCCCACUCCCAGCGCGCUCGCCUCCCCUCCGUUCCCGGCCAGGAGUCGGCGAGAGCCCGAGCAGCGCCGGCGCAGGGCUGUGCCCCGGGGCGGAGCUGGCGGCGUUGCAGAGGAGGCGGCACGGGCGCAGCAGAGCCGGGGCUGA